rfam:Trichophyton equinum CBS 127.97 supercont1.43 genomic scaffold, whole genome shotgun sequence.
UCCUUGAUGGUCUAGUGGUCAUGAUUUCCGCUUGUCAACAUCGCUUAAUAAGCGAGUAACAAGCGCGGGAGACCGGGGUUCGAUUCCCCGUCAGGGAG